CCUACGGGUGGCAGCAGUGAGGGAUAUUGGUCAAUGGACGGAAGUCUGAACCAGCCAUGCCGCGUGCAGGAAGACGGCUCUAUGAGUUGUAAACUGCUUUUGUACAAGGGUAAACCUGAAUACGUGUAUUCAGCUGACAGUACUGUACGAAUAAGGAUCGGCUAACUCCGUGCCAGUAGCCGCGGUAAUACGGAGGAUCCAAGCGUUAUCCGGAUUUAUUGGGUUUAAAGGGUGCGUAGGCGGAUUGAUAAGUGAGAGGUGAAAUGUCCGAGCUUAACUCGGGAACUGCCUCUAGUACUAUUGAGCUAGAGAGUAGAUGCGGUAGGCGGAAUGUAUGGUGUAGCGGUGAAAUGCUUAGAGAUCAUACAGAACACCAAUUGCGAAGGCAGCUUACCAAUCUAUAUCUGACGUUGAGGCACGAAAGCGUGGGGAGCAAACAGGAUUAGAUACCCUAGUAGUC
rnacentral:rRNA from 1 species